AGAGUUUGAUCCUGGCUCAGGACGAACGCUGGCGGCGUGCUUCAGACAUGCAAGUCGAGCGGGCGGAGGCCGAACCGCAAGGGGAGGCUGAAGCUAGCGGCGAACGGGUGAGUAACACGUGGGUAAUCUGCCCGGAAGACUGGGAUAACGGUCCGAAAGGGCCGCUAAUACCGGAUAAUGUCGUUUUUCCGCAUGGGGAGACGAAGAAAGGCUUCGGUCACUUUCGGAUGAGCCCGCGACCCAUCAGCUAGUUGGUGAGGUAAAGGCUCACCAAGGCGACGACGGGUAGCCGGUCUGAGAGGAUGGUCGGCCACACUGGGACUGAGNNNNNNNNNNNNNNNNNNNNNNNUUGGGCAAUGGGCGAAAGCCUGACCCAGCGACGCCGCGUGAGGGAAGAAGGCCUUCGGGUCGUAAACCUCUGUCAUCGGGGACGAAGGAAGUGACGGUACCCGAGGAGGAAGCCCCUGCUAACUACGUGCCAGCAGCCGCGGUAAUACGUAGGGGGCGAGCGUUGUCCGGAGUUAUUGGGCGUAAAGGGCGUGUAGGCGGCCUGUUAAGUCAGGUGUGAAAUUUCAGGGCUUAACCCUGAAACUGCGUUUGAAACUGGCAGGCUUGAGGACAGGAGAGGGAAGUGGAAUUCCCGGUGUAGCGGUGGAAUGCGUAGAUAUCGGGAGGAACACCAGUGGCGAAGGCGGCUUCCUGGACUGUACCUGACGCUGAGGCGCGAAAGCUAGGGGAGCAAACAGGAUUAGAUACCCUGGUAGUCCUAGCCGUAAACGAUGAGUGCUAGGUGUGGGAGGUUAAAAUCCUUCCGUGCCGGAGUUAACGCAAUAAGCACUCCGCCUGGGGAGUACGGCCGCAAGGCUAAAACUCAAAGGAAUUGACGGGGGCCCGCACAAGCAGUGGAGCGUGUGGUUUAAUUCGACGCAACGCGCAGAACCUUACCAGGGCUUGACAUCAUGGUGCCAGCCGUGGAAACACGGUCUUCCGUAGCGAUACGGACGCCAUGACAGGUGUUGCAUGGUUGUCGUCAGCUCGUGUCGUGAGAUGUUGGGUUAAGUCCCGCAACGAGCGCAACCCCUAUCUGGUGUUGCCAACGGGUAAAGCCGGGGACUCACCAGAGACUGCCGGAGACGAUCUGGAGGAAGGUGGGGAUGAUGUCAAAUCAUCAUGGCCCUUAUGCCCUGGGCCACACACGCGCUACAAUGGCCGGUACAGCGGGCAGCUAAGGAGCAAUCCGGAGCGAAUCCCAAAAAGCCGGUCUCAGUUGGGAUCGGGGGCUGAAACUCGUCCCCGUGAACACGGAAUUGCUAGUAAUCGCGGAUCAGCCACGCCGCGGUGAAUACGUUCCCGGGCCUUGUACACACCGCCCGUCAAGCCAUGGGAGCUGGCAACACCCGAAGUCGGUGAUCCAACCCGCAAGGGAGGAAGCCGCCGAAGGUGGGGCUGGUGACUGGGGCUAAGUCGUAACAAGGUAGCCGUAUCGGAAGGUGCGGCUG
rnacentral:rRNA from 1 species